rnacentral:miRNA from 1 species
AGGAGAGAGAGACAGAGAGCCUGCUUGCUUUAAAGGAGCAAAGCGGGAGAGGAGACUAGAGGAGCCGCUUACACGAGUGUAAGCGGCUCCUGUCCGGUUGGCUCCUUUAAAGCAAGCAGGCUCUCUGUCUCUCUCUCCU